CAGUAGCCGCGGAAUACGGAGGAUCCAAGCGUUAUCCGGAAUCAUUGGGUUUAAAGGGUCCGUAGGCGGUCUUGUAAGUCAGUGGUGAAAGCCCAUCGCUCAACGGUGGAACGGCCAUUGAUACUGCAGGACUUGAAUUAUUGGGAAGUAACUAGAAUAUGUAGUGUAGCGGUGAAAUGCUUAGAGAUUACAUGGAAUACCAAUUGCGAAGGCAGGUUACUACCAAUUGAUUGACGCUGAUGGACGAAAGCGUGGGUAGCGAACAGGAUUAGAUACCCGUGUAGUCCCUGUCUCUUAUACC
rnacentral:rRNA from 1 species